rnacentral:snRNA from 1 species
UUCCCUCAGACACAUAAC